UAAUACUGAUCUUCCCAAUC
rnacentral:misc_RNA from 1 species